AGCUUUGCGCAGUGGUAGUAUCGUAGCCAAUGAGGUUUAUCCAAGGCGCGAUUAUUGCUAAUUAAAAACUUGAGAGGUGAGGGUAUGCCUGCAUGUACAACAAUCCCAAGAGCAGAAUGGAGGAGAAGGAAUCAUGGCAUGACUUUCUCCCCAGAAAAUAAAUUCUCUCUCUCUCUCUCUCUCUCUCUUUCUCUCUUUCUCUCUGUUUCACUCUGGUGAGU
rnacentral:snRNA from 11 species